CAUGUCUUCUCAUGAAAUUCAUCAUUUCAUACCAAAAAUAUUCACCAUUCAUCAUAUAAUACCAAAAAUAAUUCCCACAUACUCUUCUUUUCAUAAUAAAAUCACAUGACAACAGAAAAACACAAUGGUUAAGACUAGUCUGACUAAAAUCUAUAAGCAGUUCUUGAACAAACCAAGGUUUACAAAAAUAAUUUUGCUUAAAUAGAAAUAAGAAACAGCCACACCAAAAGCUAAUUCUUCGGCCCAAUGUCCUUCAAAGCACAAAUCUGUUCCUCACCCAUAGCAGACAUCACAGACACAACAAGGUCCUUGCCCUCAGCAAACCCAUCCUUUAUCUGCAAAGAGAUACCAUUAAAACAAACCCGAUCAGAGAAUAUACUAACAAAAAAAUAACUUAUAUUGGUCAAUCCAAGAGGGGAGAAAAUCUCCAAAUUUGAACCAACCUGAGUCAGAAGACUCUCAUCAGUAGGGAGCCUGAGGUCAUCCUUAGUGUUACCAUUUUCAGUAAGCAGACUCACCUACAAUAAUGGUAUUAGCAAACUCAUGUUCAGAAUUCAUUUACCCUAUUUACAAUGAUAAAAAAAAGGAAAAAAAAAAAUCUGAAUAAACUUACAAAUCCAUCCUCAGAAAUAUCAAUGAGUUGAUAGUCAGUACGAUUCACAUGAGGAACCUAACAACCAUAAUUUGCAACAACAAAGGAAAAACAGUGGCAAGUUAGGUUAAUCUACUACAACUACAAAAAUUAAAAAUGAAAAUUUAAAAGAUCAAGUCAUCCAUACAUCACAGUUGUGAGAAGAAGGCACAAUAUCCUCAAGCUUCUUGGCAGUGAAAAUAUCAAUUCCAACAAAAUGACACUUAGCGUGACCAUGUUUUCCAGUUUUGGAAGUGGAAACUUCCACAACCU
rnacentral:lncRNA from 1 species